UUCUUAUCUCAUACGGCAAGAAUUCUGAAAACAGAAACUGUGUUCAGUUGCAAGAGACAUAAGCCAGAAACAUCAGUGAUGUAAACAAGAAUGUGGCUCUAAUCCUCAAGAUCACAAAAUGACUGCAGGAGCCUCAGCCAUCACACCACAUUCCAGGAAAAAAAAGCAAGAGGAAAAGAAAUAAUUGGGGUUAACCACUUGGACAGAAAGAAACUGGGAAAUGUGGUCUUUCAGCUGAGCCUACAACACCCUGACUACCAUCAAGGAAAAUGAUAGCCCAGAGGAAUCUGUGGAGAUGGUGAGAAGGAGGUUGAGCUUCUCAUUCUCAACAAGUUGAGGGAAGGGAGCUCAAGCAAUUUUAAUUCAAAUACAAAAAGAGAGGGGGACUUUGCUGGCCAUCCAGUGAUUAAGACUUCAGCUUCCAGUUUGGGAGGUGCAAGUUUGAUUCCCUGUCAGGGAGCUAGGAUCCUGCAUGCCUCACAGCCCCACAAAACCAACCCACAAACAAAAACCAGAACAUAAACAACAAAAGCAACAUUGUAACAAGUUCAAUAAAGACUUUAAAGAUGGUCCACAUCAAACAAAGCAAAGCAAAAAGAGAGAGGGUAAUUCUUAAGACUGGCGUCUGCUGAAACCUCUGGGACACAGCAGCACUGGGUCUCAGACUCGGAAAAGACACCCAGAAACCUCUCCACUAGUGCCCCAGGGCUCCCCCAAAGGCUGUUAUCUGCUGCCUGCACCCCUUCUGGCCUGACGCCUCUUUCCACUGUGUAGUAUCUGAGCUGAAGCCUCACCCUCUACUCUGACAUCAGGGGCGAGGUUUCUUGCCAAGAGCUAAUGCAGUCUUUCUUGUCACACAGCCAGGCUCCUGAGUACAAUACUGAUGAGCUUCGGGUUCUAGGAGAAUUAAGGCCAAGUCACAGUAACUGGAAGAGAUCUACUUUGCUCAUGUGAGACUAAACUGUGCUUUUCUUGGGCACCGGGAGCAUCCUCCAAAUGCUUGCUUCAGGCAGGGGUGCUGCCUCUGAAGAGGCUGGUGAGUGAGUGAACUCUGGCUCCUGCUGGUGGGACAUUAAGCAGGAUUUCAAAAAUUCUCUGAGUGGCUUUGUGACGUGUCCACUUGGCAAGGUUAACCUACAUAUUCCAGAGUCCUCCCCUUCCCUGUGUGCUUCUGGUGAGGGUGGGCCACGAGGGACGUCCUGGGAGGGCUGCUGGGUGGAGAUGAAGGCAACAGCUGUUUUGUAGCUCAUACUGGUUGUCACUGACCUGCCCAUUCAUUUCUUUGAUGUCAGGCAGCAAAAGAGCCUGUGAGUGCUCCUGUUCCUCCCAUAUCCAACUCCUGGGCCUGGUGUGUGUUUAGCCCUGUGAUCAGGGGCCCUGGCUCUGCUGCGCAUGCGCACCACCCAGGUCAGAGGUGACAAGAAUGAUGUGAUUAACCUCCUACCCUGUUGGUGGGAAUGUAAAUUGGUGCAACCACUAUGGAGAACAGUAUCGAGGUUUCUCAAAAAACUAAAAAUAGAGCUGCCAUAUGAUCUAGCAAUCCCACUCCUGGGUGUAUAUCUGGAUAAAACUGUUAUUCAAGAAGAUACACGCACUCCUAUGUUCAUAGCAGCACUAUUUCCUAUAGCCAGGACAUGGAAGCAACCUACAUGCCCAUCAGCAAAAGAAUGGAUAAA